UACGGGGGAUGCAAGCGUUAUCCGGAUUUAUUGGGUUUAAAGGGUGCGUAGGCUGUGAGGUAAGUCAGCGGUGAAAUGCCCCCGCUCAACGGGGUGAAGUGCCAUUGAUACUGCCUUGCUGGAAUGCGGAUGCCGUGGGAGGAAUGUGUGGUGUAGCGGUGAAAUGCAUAGAUAUCACACAGAACACCGAUUGCGAAGGCAUCUCACGAAUCCGCGAUUGACGCUGAUGCACAAAAGCGUGGGUAUCAAACAGG
rnacentral:rRNA from 1 species